UACAGAGGGUGCGAGCGUUGUCCGGAAUCACUGGGCGUAAAGGGCGCGUAGGUGGCUCGUUAAGCGUGUGGUGAAAGCCUGGGGCUCAACCCCAGGUCUGCCGUGCGAACUGGCGAGCUUGAGAGUAGUAGAGGCGGGUGGAAUUUCGGGUGUAGCGGUGGAAUGCGUAGAUAUCCGAAAGAACACCGGUGGCGAAGGCGGCCCGCUGGGCAGUAGCUGACGCUGAGGCGCGACAGCGUGGGGAGCAAACAGG
rnacentral:rRNA from 1 species